AUUGAACGCUGGCGGCAGGCCUAACACAUGCAAGUCGAGCGGAUGAAGGGAGCUUGCUCCUGGAUUCAGCGGCGGACGGGUGAGUAAUGCCUAGGAAUCUGCCUGGUAGUGGGAGAUAACGUCCGGAAACGGGCGCUAAUACCGCAUACGUCCUGAGGGAGAAAGUGGGGGAUCUUCGGACCUCACGCUAUCAGAUGAGCCUAGGUCGGAUUAGCUAGUUGGUGGGGUAAAGGCCUACCAAGGCGACGAUCCGUAACUGGUCUGAGAGGAUGAUCAGUUACACUGGAACUGAGACACGGUCCAGACUCCUACGGGAGGCAGCAGUGGGGAAUAUUGGACAAUGGGCGAAAGCCUGAUCCAGCCAUGCCGCGUGUGUGAAGAAGGUCUUCGGAUUGUAAAGCACUUUAAGUUGGGAGGAAGGGCAGUAAGUUAAUACCUUGCUGUUUUGACGUUACCAACAGAAUAAGCACCGGCUAACUUCGUG
rnacentral:rRNA from 1 species